CAGCUCACGAGAUGCACAUCAGAUGAGAGACUGGAGGGAAUAAACAGCGAUAACUAGAGUUUCCUGUGAUUUAAAAGCGUUCGGAGGUCUGCAGAUGGACUGGUGUUUACAGAGGGAACUAUGGAGGAGUUCAGGACUGCGAGGACAUUCAUCUCACAUCAAUGAAGACGGUGGCUUCUUGAGUUUCUGAAGAACUUACGGUACUAUACUUUGACUUUUUAUGAUAUUUCCAACAUAGUCAUAGUAUACUAUGCUAUUUGUAUUUACAUUUUCGACAUAUUAUGUCGUUUUUUUUGCAUAUUUUCGACACACUAUACUUUUUUGUUUUUUUGCAUUUUAUACAUUAUAGAUAUUUUCAUUCUACUAAACUGACUUCAUGGUGUCUUUUUCUUCUUUUCCCGGAACACCGAGUGCAAGUACAUCUGACAUCAACGAAGACGGUGGCUUCUGGAGAUCCUGAAGAACUUACGGACUGCGAGGACAUUCAUCUGACAUCAAUGAAGACGGUGGCUUCCUGAGUUUCUGAAGAACUUACGAGUGAAGAGACAAUCCCCCCUCCCGCCACGCCAUCAAUUAAGACCCCGGCUGCCUAUGUUUCUGAAAAAGUUGUGGACGUUUUCAGCCUUGGGGAAGUAUAGCAGACUUAGCAGCCUGAGGGACGUAUAGCAGACUUAACAGACUAUCGAUGUGGCUGCAGUGAGAGCACACAGCCACUUAGCAGACUUAGCCGACUUGGGGCGGUGGCUGGGGUGCCGAGCGGGCCCCCCCCAGCCACGUCAGCCCCCCCCGACUUAGCAGACUUAGCAGGCCUACUGACUUAGCAGACUAUCGGCAGUGACUGCAGGCCCCUGCACAGGAGUGCAGUGAGAGCCGGCAGCCACCUAUCGGCCGCUUAUUAGACUUAGCAGACUUGGGGACGUUUAGCAGACUUGGGGACGUUUAGCAGACUUGGGGACGUUUAGCAGACUUGGGGAAAAGGCUGCACUGCUAUGUAUGAAUAAAAUGAAUAAAUGUGAAUUAAAAAAAAGUUUCUCAAAAUACA